CCCCAGCUCUGGGAGGGGAGUGGUGGGUUAGAGUAGGGGGCUGGAACCCAGGACUCCUGGGUUCUAUCCCCUGCUCUGGGAGGGGAGUGGGGUCUGGUGGUUAGAGCAGGGGUG